rnacentral:rRNA from 1 species
AACUUAACGGAUCGCAUGGCCUUGCGCCGGCGACGGUUCAUUCAAAUUUCUGCCCUAUCAACUUUCGAUGGUAAGGUAUUGGCUUACCAUGGUUUCAACGGGUAACGGGGAAUUAGGGUUCGACUCCGGAGAGGGAGCCUGAGAAACGGCUACCACAUCCAAGGAAGGCAGCAGGCGCGCAAAUUACCCAAUCCCGACACGGGGAGGUAGUGACAAUAAAUACUGAUACAGGGCUCUUUAGGGUCGUGUAAUUGGAAUGAGUACAAUUUAAACCCCUUAACGAGGAACAAUUGGAGGGCAAGUCUGGUGCCAGCAGCCGCGGUAAUUCCAGCUCCAAUAGCGUAUAUUAAAGUUGUUGCAGUUAAAAAGCUCGUAGUUGAACCUUGGGCCUGGCUGGCCGGUCCGCCUCACCGCGUGUACUGGUCCGGCCGGGCCUUUCCUUCUGGAGAUCCGCAUGCCCUUUACUGGGUGUGUUGGGGAACCAGGACUUUUACUUUGAAAAAAUUAGAGUGUUCAAAGCAGGCCUUUGCUCGAAUACGUUAGCAUGGAAUAAUAGAAUAGGACGUGUGGUUCUAUUUUGUUGGUUUCUAGGACCGCCGUAAUGAUUAAUAGGGAUAGUCGGGGGCAUCAGUAUUCAAUUGUCAGAGGUGAAAUUCUUGGAUUUAUUGAAGACUAACUACUGCGAAAGCAUUUGCCAAGGAUGUUUUCAUUAAUCAGUGAACGAAAGUUAGGGGAUCGAAGACGAUCAGAUACCGUCGUAGUCUUAACCGUAAACUAUGCCGACUAGGGAUCGGGCGAUGUUACUAUUUUGACUCGCUCGGCACCUUACGAGAAAU